rnacentral:rRNA from 1 species
CCUACGGGAGGCAGCAGUGGGGAAUUUUGGACAAUGGGCGAAAGCCUGAUCCAGCAAUGCCGCGUGAGUGAAGAAGGCCUUCGGGUUGUAAAGCUCUUUUGUCAGGGAAGAAACGGUGGGAGCUAAUAUCUCUUGCUAAUGACGGUACCUGAAGAAUAAGCACCGGCUAACUACGUGCCAGCAGCCGCGGUAAUACGUAGGGUGCAAGCGUUAAUCGGAAUUACUGGGCGUAAAGCGUGCGCAGGCGGUUUUGUAAGUCUGAUGUGAAAUCCCCGGGCUCAACCUGGGAAUUGCAUUGGAGACUGCAAGGCUAGAAUCUGGCAGAGGGGGGUAGAAUUCCACGUGUAGCAGUGAAAUGCGUAGAUAUGUGGAGGAACACCGAUGGCGAAGGCAGCCCCCUGGGUCAAGAUUGACGCUCAUGCACGAAAGCGUGGGGAGCAAACAGGAUUAGAUACCCUGGUAGUCCACGCCCUAAACGAUGUCUACUAGUUGUCGGGUCUUAAUUGACUUGGUAACGCAGCUAACGCGUGAAGUAGACCGCCGUGGGGAGUACGGUUCGCAAGAUUAAAACUCAAAUUGAAUUGACGG